rnacentral:rRNA from 1 species
GACAGAGGGUGCGAACGUUGUUCGGAAUUACUGGGCGUAAAGCGUGUGUAGGCGGCCAGGUAAGUCGGAUGUGAAAGCCCCGGGCUCAACCCGGGAAGUGCAUUCGAUACUGCUUGGCUUGAGUAUCGGAGAGGUUGGUGGAAUUCUCGGUGUAGAGGUGAAAUUCGUAGAUAUCGAGAGGAACACCGGUGGCGAAGGCGGCCAACUGGACGAAUACUGACGCUGAGACACGAAAGCGUGGGGAGCAAACAGG